AUUUAGAUCACCUGGUGAGGAGUGAGGAGCUUCUCUCCACUGCUCAGCUCCUUUCUACUCCACUAAUAGUGAGUGUGCUCCCAAAGGGAGGGACAGGUUCAGCUCCCUCCCAGCUCUGACGAGGUGGGAUGGUCAAACUUGAAUUUCCCACAUUCCAGAGGACUGAACCUCUGGUACCAGGAAGAAGUCCAAAGGGAUCUCUGCUUGGUGGCCAUGCUGACCUCUGCUUUUCUGGGGUGGCUAACUUGCACCAGAAGCCAAAUGUAUGAUUUGGGACUCUGCCCAUGGAGAAGAGGUGAGGAGCUGGUAUCAGAGCAUUAUGCAUUGCGUGUCCUGACAUGUACACAUUGAAAACUUUUCUACUUAGCAUCAGGUUGGUAGUGUCUUACCUUGAGGGAUGCAGGACACGCCAUCACUGGCUAAAGUGUAAUCAUCAUCACAGAAGCACAGUCGUAUUUUGGACUGCUUGUCAGUACAGUACUGUUCACAGCCACCGUUGUCAAAAAUGCACUUCAGUUUGUCAGCCACAGCUAAAGGCAGAGAAAGAACAUUUAGGAUUCAAGACUUGGAUUUUUCUGCUUAACAGUGAUAACUUGCAAUUGGAAUGUUGUCAGGAAAGCAAGGCAGGAAAAACGAUUUCUGUGAUUUAUGCAGAGCAACUUCAUCAAAAUUGCUUUUCAUCAAAAGCUAAGUAGGCCUAGAUCUCUAGGGAUUAGGGGAGGAUAGGCUUUGGUUAAGAAAUAUAUACAUAAAAUUAAAUCAAUCAGCAUUUAUACAGUACCUGAGCUGUCUCAAGAAUGGAGAUACUGUAAUUGUGUGGUAACCAUUGUAAAAUAUGACUGAAAAAUUUUAAUUCUGUGACAUUUUGCUACUUAGCAGGAGGAUGCUCUGUGAUGACUGUUGAGACUGCCUGCCUAGACUUGAUGAGUGCCUAGCCCUUUGUCCAGACUCUGCAUGUUCUGAGGAUGUAACACUCAAUAUUCAGUGUCCUCUGUUUCAGUGAAAUCAGUGGAAAGGUGCAUAUUAACUUCAUAAACCACUGGAUCCUUCCCUUUGGGCUUUGUACUGUGCAUAUGCAGUGUAGUUCUUACUUACAUAAGGCAUGGAGCUUCUAAGUUAGCAUAACUUCAGCACUUGAAAUUCCUCCUUUUCUCUCAGAUGGUGUGCAAAUGCAAUUUUUUUUUCUUUAAUCACAAAGUCAUUAUAGGGCAAUAAGUAUCUUGCUGCCUUGCAGUACCUGACUGCUAUCUGGUUAGAUCCAUCCCUCAACACCAAAAGCACUAUGAACAGAAGCUGUCACAGCUGGAAUGAUGCAGAAUCACAGAAUCCUAAAAUAUCCUGAGUUGGAAGGGACCAACGAGGAUCAUCAAGUCCAAAUCCUGAAUUACAAGGACUGUUACUGUUUAUCUCAAUGCCUUGCAUUUGAAUUAAUAAGAGCAUUUUUAUUUUAUUAAGUUAUGCCACAGCUGACCUUUUUCACAGCUUUUUCCCUCGUAUUCAACAGGACAGCGGCAGACAUAAUCCUGGAACUGAUCAUCACAAAUCCCACCAUUCUGACAGGGGUUGGAGGCACACUGGUUGGGGUCUGUAAAACACUCAGUGUCAGUUCAGCUCACGCAAAGAGCUGCAGCAGUGGGAGUGUUCCACAGCUGUUAGAACAUCCUGAAUGAUCGUACCAGAAUAGAUGAGCCAGAACUCUUCCUGGAAGAAAAAGAUGUGAGAUUUAAUUAAAGAAGAAUCAAGUCAACUCUUACAGCCAUUGUUGCACAGUGUGGGUUAUAGAGAGCCAGAGUGAUGCUACUUCUGCCUUUAUAGUUUGUGACAGUUAAUAUCCAUAAAAUAUUAUAUUUUCUAGGUUGUACAUUAUUUUCAUAUACUAAUAGAGAAGGACCUUGUUUAAUGCACAUAAAUGGGUCAAAUAUAAAAGCUCUGUAUAGCUCAGGUGGGAUUGACUGAAAAAAAAUGUUGCACAAUGCAAUAAUUUAAAGUAUUGUCAGGGCAGGCAUUACUGGAGGUUUGCCUUAGAGAGCAUCCAUUUUCCCACCAUCCCUUAGAUGGUUACUGCUUGGGAUUGCCCAUGCAGUGUGCCCUCCUGCAACUCACUGCUACUGUGUACCCCUGUAAAUAGAAAAGAAAAAUGCAAACAGCGGGACACAAAGUACUUUUUUUAACUCUGGUGGUUUAAAGUGUCAAAGCACACCCCUGAGUAGGGAGAGUCCUUAUGACAAUGAGUGCCCACCCAGCCCUGUGUUACUUACUGUCCUUUCAAUGUCACCGUAAAUCUCUCUUGCUUCCUCAUAGGAACAUCUUUCUUCUAUGCAUUCUCGCUCUAGUGACCCCAGUUUUAUCUCUUCAAAGAAGCUGUUGGCUCGUCUUUGUCUUUGCAAAACGUUGCUUGCCUCUUCCUGCUUUAGAAAGACUGAAAAACAGCGGCACGUUCUGUUUGUCAUACGGCUGCGCUUGCCAGACAGAGAGGGUGGGGGGACCACUUCACCUGAAAGCUUUUCUGCCUCCAAAGCUUUUUCUGAGACACUUUAGAAAAGAAAUGGGCAGAUGUGGAAGAGUCUCCUUUCUCUGGCCUGCCUCAAGGUAAACUGGCAACACAGGAAUUUUAGAGAUUCCGGAGUUCAGGAGAAGAUGGCCUGUUACAGCAGUGCGGGGUGUGUGUGUUGUCUGCAUGUCAGUGACUCCUGAGCUACUGUUGCAUGUCAUAUGCAUCUUAGCAUGUGCAGCAGUUUCUUACAGCUGUAGCAGCUGGAGAGCCUGUGUCACUUUAUCUAGCACUGGUGUACAUGGUAAAAGCUGAUUUUUCUGUACUUGAUAAGUCAGUCACAGUGACAGGUGGACCACAGUCAGCCUUCACCCACAGUCACAUGUUAUUUCAUACCCCUCCACUUGUUGGACCUGAAGAAGGGAUUUAUCCCACCAUUAGUAGACCACAAUUUUUGAACCACUGCUUUAAUAUCUUUGAUUUUCUUCUGUGGAAAAGGUUAUGUUAAGGUACAUAGGAAGGCUGGAUAAUGUGGACUGCAUUUCCCAGUGGAGCCUGUGAAUGGCUCUUAGCUCCUGCCAUCACCACAGACUACAGCCAGGAAGGGGUCUUGUGUGUCUCUGCCAUGCUUUGGAAGGAUAUUGGGUGCAUAGGUUGAUAGCAGGCAUCAGCAGAGCUCAUUUCCUAGAGUUGCAUCAGCUUGCAACUGGCAGAAGUGUGCACUGGAAACACUAAUGUCAUGGUCCCCAUGCUGACCUGCUCCUCAGCCUCAGGAUAUUAGCACAUCACACAACUGUGCUCUCCCAGUAUAGUUCAGGAUAAGGAACAAGAAGUCCAAGUGCUGGUGUGUAAUUUUGCUCCGUGUACUACAAGAAAAAGUCUUGACAUUUUUAAUUUUUUUUUCUCCUCCCUGUAGGGGAGCUUCUGGAGCUUCAUGACAGCUUUGAUUUCAGUGCUUUAGCUGUUUCACCUCUGCUUGUGGGUAGAUUUGGGGAUUGAGGCUGAUGCAUAUCUCCUGCCUUUCCCCAGGACAUUCUCUCCAAAAGAGUGGGAGUUAUCUUCUACCUGCUGAAAGGGCCCUGAGGGAUGCUGAAAGACAGACUCAUGGGUGUCAUCACCAAUACACACCCAAUCAUAGAUGCUGAGAGGGUUUAUUCCAUUUUGAAGCGAUAUGAGGUGUUUCCAUAAUCAUUUGUGUCUAAUUCAGGAUAGCUGCUGAAUUACAUGUAGAAUAGUGGUAAUUUCCCCCUGUAUUUCAAAGUUACUUAGAAGAAUAAAUUAUUGUGCCCUGAAUUUAUCUCUGGGUGCUUCAUAAGCAUUUGGUCAUUAUAGGAAUGUCAGCUGGGUCUUUCUGCCUUGAUUUCAGUCAGGAUGUAUGCAUUUGGUAUGGCUCUCUUUAAAGGCUUUUAGUUAACCUUAUGUUGCAGAUAGGUGGCACAUGUAUCAGUGCUUGAACACAGACUCUGACAGAGGAACAUGCCUGAGCACAUGGCUAGGGAUGAGCACAUGGCUUGGGACAUCCAUGCACUAAUUUUGGCAUUAUCCACUUUUUUGUAGUGGAUAAUUUCUGACUUUGCUACCUAUUUUUCCACCUUUCCCCACCACAACAUAUAAGACCUAGUCAAUGGCUAAUGGGGAAUCUGAGAGCACUGGAUCUGCUUUAUUAAUAUGGGAGCUGGUUUUUGGACAUACACUGACAACUGAAGAGCUACUUCUUGUCUGCCUUCUACUGAAACAGGGUGGAUCCUACCCACUUUUAUUACUCAUCAGCUGAGUGACAGGCUAUUGAUGCUUUGCUUUGAAAAAUGUCCCAGUUCUGCAUGAAAUAACAGUAAAUCCCAGUUCCUUUCUUCAUGUAGACAGCUGGUGGUUUGCCUGCUGUCUGUGCACCAAGAUAACAGAUGAAUUUAGCAGUCUAGAGGUGCUUUUCCUUAGUUGGCAGAACAAGUGCAUGGAGCCAUCUCUGAGAGUAAAUUAGAACUUUUGAAUAACACACAGGCACAGCAGGAGACACGACAAACACACAACAGCACUCAAAACUUGCAGUGGAAAUCACCUUGCAGUAACAGGAAACAGGGCCAUUGCCAGUAAACACCAUUACAGCUAUAUCCUGCAACAUACCUGCAUCCAGAGAAAGAGGGAUCAGUAGCAGAAAGCAGAGAAACAAAGCCACAUACUGCCUGGAAAUCAUGAUGAACCCUGUGAGCCAGUGUUCUGGUAGUGUAUUGACAUUUCAGCAAGGACUGUUUGGCCAAAGGGCUCAGCUUCAAAUGCUUGGAGCCAGAGGAGGGGCCAGCAAGUCAUGGAAACGGCAAAAGAUCCAUGACAGCCUGGUGAGCUGAGCAGGGCGCAUGCAAAUCCUGCAGUGUGCCCUUUUCACAGGAACAGGGAGCUUGGUUUUGAAGUGUGCUCUCCUGACCCAUGCAAAAGCUGUGCUGGUUACACAGGCUGCUAGCCCAGGCAUGCAUUUUCCAUUUAACACACCUUUGCCAUGAGAAACAUGAAUGCUGGGACCCUGAAUCUAUAGGACAGGCAUUAACUUGGCCACAUAGCACCACAUACAGAGAGCAGUGAUGUGAUAUUAUCUUGCAUCAGCAGUCAAGAUAGUGCUUUUCAGUGCUUUGGAGUAUGAUUGUACUACUGGCAUCUAUUCCCAUUUUUCUAUCACCAGUUGAAACUGUGCACUUCUGCCUGAAUUUGCUUGGAGACACUAAUUAACCAGCAAGAGACACCCUACACUGGUUCUCUCCAUCUUUGCUGCCGGACCCAUGUGGCCUGCACAGGUUGUAGCAGCUGGAAGUGGCACUGAGCUGAUCCAUGUUGUACUUCACUGGGAGCUACCAGGGCUUGAGGGGCCACUCUGCAGACAGUGCUUUAUCUGGAACAUGAGCAGUCCCCUGAUUUAAUGGAAAUCAAUUAAUGGCAUCAGACUGGAAAGCUGACAACAUUCUUGGGGAAAUAUUUACUUAAGAUAGCAGCAAGGUAAAGAGCAUGUUUGUCUAUGAGAAGUGAAGCAUUAGCUGAAGGCUGGAGUGUUUUCCAGGCUGUUCUCUCCUUCCUGCUUGAAAAGGCAGGAGGGUCAGCCCUGCAUCUGAAUGCUACAGCAGAGGAAAUCAACAAUUGGAUUUUUACUCUGUGCCAAUACUCAGCAUAACUCCUUGCAGAAGUUGUGAUUGCUUAGGAAAGUCAGCUCCUGGCUGUUGUUUCCAUGCAGUCCUGUUGUUUAGGGGCAGUACACACAGCUGGAUAUUCUGCUUUGAAAUCACUUUCCCAAGAGGCGGUAUCCAGGCACUUCUCUGGAUCACAGCCUGGCUAAUUCCCAGCAGCCCAGUUCCUGGGAUGGCUGGGAACAGAUGGCAUGUCCUGUCCCAGGCAGAGGAAGGAAACCAGUUACUGGAAUGCAAAAGAAACUACAGCAGCCCUCUGCUGCUUUUUGGGAACCCUCUCCAUACCUGUCUGCCAACACAGCCCUUACUCCUUGUUCACUUGCCUGUGGCAGGGAGUUGAAAAUAGCAAAUGCAUUUUCAUAUUAGCAAGACCAAAACUAAGCUUGAAAAUUUCUUUUUAUCUCAUCUUCUUGGGAAUGAUCUAGCCCCACCUAUCUGUGUGAGUCAUGCAGAUCAGAGAAUGAAGUUCUGCCUUCUCUGCCUGAGGCCAGGCUGAGUCUGCACCUAUGCCCCCCACUCCCUUUAUUUCCUUACACAGGGUGGGCAUCUCCCUGCCAGGGACGGUGGGGUGGCUGCCACUCUGCAGUGGCAUCGCAGCACCUCUGCAGCCUCCACUUCUCUCUAAUGUGAGAUUCUGCACAUCCUUAUGAGACCGAGGCAGUAUUCUCCCUUUGCCUUCCUUCCUCUGCUGGCAUCCCUUAAACCUGAAAGGUUUUGCUUUUAUUUCUUGGGAAUACAGCCAAACAGUUAUUUUUAGAGCCCUGGAAGAAGCCCAAGUGCUGGGAACAAGGGUCAGUUCAUAUGGGGACCAUCCUUCUUCCAAGAAAAUUAGUGCAAUUGGGCUCCAUUGGGAUGAACCUGAGAAGGGUCACUAAGGAUUCAGCACUUCAAGACUACAUUCCAACUCUUUGUUUAAGAACUUUGUACUGACAGAUCUCAUCACACAGGUGUUUCCUACUAACUUCAGCUGGGUCUGUUCAUUGCUUAAAGAGCUGUGUUUUUAAAGGAGAGUUCCCCCUUCCUUGCAGUCUUAGACCCUAAAUGUCCUGGUUGCAGCUAGCAUAGAGGAUCUUUUCAGUGUCUCAUCCUCUGCCAGUGUGGAGCUGCACAAAAAGCAAUGAGAGAGCACGGCCAGGACAGGUUUUACUUUUCUGUUCCUGAUUCUCCUCCUCAGCCUGUGGUGUGGGAGGGAGUGAGGAGCUGCAUGGUCAUGUCCUGUUUGGGGUUGAACCAUGUCACCAGCCAGAGGAGCACACAGGUUGCUUUUCUUCCCCAGAAGAUCCCUAUGUGUUACUUUGUUUUCCUUCUUGUGCAUUCCUGCUCUAGUUAAUGAGAUUUCCCCUGCAGUUCUGCUCUAUAAAUCUCCUUGUCAGUACUGCCUUCAACUUUGGCUUAUGUUUUCUGAGCAAUUCCAACAAAAAUGAACUGCUGUUCAAUUAAAAAUUAAUAUAUAUUAAUGCAAA